rnacentral:tRNA from 1 species
CCCCUCAUAGCUCAACGGUAGAGCGUCCGGCUGUAGCCCGGAACACCCAAGUUCGACUCUUGGUGAGGGGA